rnacentral:rRNA from 1 species
UAGUCCACGCCGUAAACGAUGGUCACUCGAUAUGUACAUCUUAUUGUGCGUGUCCAAGCGAAAGCGUUAAGUGACCCACCUGGGAAGUACGCUCGCAAGAGUGAAACUUAAAGGAAUUGACGGGGGUCCGCACAAGCGGUGGAACAUGUGGUUUAAUUCGAUACUACGCGAAAAACCUUACCUAGGUUAAAUGUUUGUUGACCCACUCAGAAAAGAGUGUUUCUGUAAAGACAACAAACAAGGUGCUGCAUGGCUGUCGUCAGCUCGUGCCGUGAGGUGUUGGGUUAAGUCCUCUAACGAGCGCAACCCCUAUACUUAGUUGCCAACAUGUAAUGAUGGGGACUCUAAGUAAACUGCCUGCGAAAGCAGUGAGGAAGGAGGGGAUAAAGUCAGGUCAUCAUGGCUCUUACGCCUAGGGCUACACACGUGUUACAAUGGCGUGUACAGCGAGUCGCUACUUGGCAACAAGAUGCUAAUCUCUCAAAACACGUCUCAGUUCGGAUUGAGGU